GAGGGAGCUCCCUCCUCUCCUGGGGCCUGGGGCUUUUUUUUCUCUCUCCCAGAGCACAGCUAAGUCCCGCCUCUGGUCAUGAAUACUAAGUGUUUAUCUCGCCCGCCACCCCCCCUCCCCAGCCCAAUACUAAAGUGAUUUACAGCAGGAGAGUGCACAGUGCUUGCAUGGGGCCCGGCCCCUGGGCAGAGGGCUGGAGUUUGAGUCCUGACCCUGUUCCUCGUUAGCUGUGCCAUCUCAGAGGAAACACAUUUAGAGACCUUAAGUCUCUUGCCCAAGGCAACUCAGAGGGAGAGCCAGGACUCAAACUCAGCCUCUCAAAGACCACGGCGAAGGCCCCUGUGGAUGCCAGAGCCAAGGGCCGCUCCUGUGUUGCCAGCAGGAAUCAUGGUCUCUUCAAGGUCAGACACCCUCUCCCACCAUGUCCCCAAGGUGCUUGGCCUGGGACAGCCCCGCGCGGAAGGUAGAGAAGGGGGAGUGAUGGCGUUGGAAUCCACUCCACGUCCUGCUGUGUGACUUCUUUAGGCCUCAGGGGCCUCAGCCAGGAAACGGGACCAUGAAGAGCCUUCUCACGGGGCUGUUGUGCAGGUACAGGGGCUCACGGGCGAGAAGCGGGCACUGCACCGAGGGCUCAGGACCCUGAACGGGCUCCAUAAACGAGGGCGCCACCUCCCCGGACGGCUAUGCCUGACCAUCCCCGUUGGAAGCAGGACUUUCAUUUUCUUCUUACCCACACCACCCCGUUCUUUCUCUUCACAAGCACUCAGCCCAGUUUGUAAUUAGAUGAGUUUGUUUACUUGUCCUUGAGAGCAGGGACCGUCUCGUUUCCCACUUCUCCAUCCUGAGCACCAAGAGCAGGAGCACAGAAAGCACUGAACGGACCUGCCCCGUCCUCUGCAGGCGGAGCGGGACUAGGGUUUUCUGCCGUUUCUCAGCGGACUUGGCUUUCAGAGCCCUGGAGAGUCCUCGCCUCCACCCCCCAGAGAUGACCCUGCCGCUGGCGCUGGCGUAACUGGGAAGGGCUGGAUACUCUCUGCAGACACAGAGGAAGCUGGGGCAGAACGACUGGGGGGGGGGGGCAAGGCUGGGUCUCACACUCACCUUG
rnacentral:lncRNA from 1 species